CAUGCAGUCGUACGAGAGUUUUUAACUCAAGUGGCGGACGGGUGAGUAACACGUAAGAAUUUACCUUUAGGAGGGGGACAACAACGGGAAACUGUUGCUAAUACCCCAUAUGCUUUCGAGUGAAAUGGAUUUAUCCGCCUAGAGAGAGGCUUGCGGCUGAUUAGCUUGUUGGUGAGGUAAUGGCUCACCAAGGCGACGAUCAGUAUCUGGUUUGAGAGGACGAUCAGACACACUGGAACUGAGACACGGUCCAGACUCCUACGGGAGGCAGCAGUGGGGAAUUUUCCGCAAUGGGCGAAAGCCUGACGGAGCAAUACCGCGUGAGGGAUGACGGCCUAUGGGUUGUAAACCUCUUUUUUCAGGGAGGAAUCAAUGACGUGUACCUGAAGAAUAAGCAUCGGCUAACUCCGUGCCAGCAGCCGCGGUAAGACGGAGGAUGCAAGUGUUAUCCGGAAUCACUGGGCGUAAAGCGUCUGUAGGUGGUCAAAUAAGUCAACUGUUAAAUCUUGAGGCUCAACCUCAAAACCGCAGUCGAAACUAUUAGACUAGAGUAUAGUAGGGGUAAAGGGAAUUUCCAGUGGAGCGGUGAAAUGCGUAGAGAUUGGAAGGAACACCGAUGGCGAAGGCACUUUACUGGGCUAUUACUAACACUCAGAGACGAAAGCUAGGGUAGCAAAUGGGAUUAGAUACCCCAGUAGUCCUAG
rnacentral:rRNA from 1 species